UACGUAGGGUGCAAGCGUUAAUCGGAAUUACUGGGCGUAAAGCGUGCGCAGGCGGUUCGGAAAGAGAGAUGUGAAAUCCCAGGGCUCAACCUUGGAACUGCAUUUUUAACUCCCGAGCUAGAGUAUGUCAGAGGGGGGUAGAACUCCACGUGUAGCAGUGAAAUGCGUAGAUAUGUGGAGGAAUACCGAUGGCGAAGGCAGCCCCCUGGGUCGACACUGACGCUCAUGCACGAAAGCGUGGGGAGCAAACAGG
rnacentral:rRNA from 1 species